rnacentral:rRNA from 1 species
GCUUGUCUCAAAGAUUAAGCCAUGCAUGUCUAAGUGUAAAUAAGUCUAUACUGUGAAACUGCGAAUGGCUCAUUAAAUCAGUUAUCGUUUAUUUGAUGAUCUCUUACUACUUGGAUAACCGUAGUAAUUCUAGAGCUAAUACAUGCACAAAGGCCCGACUCACGGAGGGCUGUAUUUAUUAGAUGGAAACCAAUGCAGGGCAACCUGGAAUAUGGUGAUUCAUAAUAACUCGCGGAUCGGUUUACCGAUGCAUCAUUCAAGUUUCUGCCCUAUCAGCUUUGGAUGGUAGGGUAUUGGCCUACCAUGGCUUUAACGGGUAACGGAGAAUUAGGGUUCGAUUCCGGAGAGGGAGCCUGAGAAAUGGCUACCACAUCCAAGGAAGGCAGCAG